AUUGAACGCUGGCGGAAUGCUUUACACAUGCAAGUCGAACGGUAGAGGGGGUAACCUCUCGAGAGUGGCGAACGGGUGAGUAAUAUAUCGGAACGUGCCCAGUCGUGGGGGAUAACGUAGCGAAAGUUACGCUAAUACCGCAUACGAUCUACGGAUGAAAGCGGGGGACUCGCAAGAGCCUCGCGCGAUUGGAGCGGCCGAUAUCAGAUUAGGUAGUUGGUGGGGUAAAGGCCCACCAAGCCAACGAUCUGUAGCUGGUCUGAGAGGACGACCAGCCACACUGGGACUGAGACACGGCCCAGACUCCUACGGAGGCAGCAGUGGGGAAUUUUGGACAAUGGGCGCAAGCCUGAUCCAGCAAUGCCGCGUGCAGGAAGAAGGCCUUCGGUUGUAAAGGUACGUCUUUUGUUCUAGGAAGAAACAGCAGCUCUAACA
rnacentral:rRNA from 1 species